ensembl:snoRNA
AUCCUUUUGUGGUUCAUAAACAUGAUGGUGAGUUUUCACCCCAUGCUCUAAGUCUUGCCUCCCUCCACCCAGCCUUGUUACAUCAGACAUCAGCACAUUACCCAUCUGGCA